rnacentral:lncRNA from 1 species
CCUCGAUCUUAGUAUUCUUGGUGAAAGGGUAGUUGAUCACUAAAACUUCCGCUAUGCACGAGGCUCAGAGAUGUACAUUACUCCAUUUUGAUGAAAUGGGUGUUCAAGAUUUGCCCAUUUAGAGCUACAUCGAGCUGGGUUUUGACCUGGAUCUUAGCAUUCUUGGUGAAAGGGCAGUUCGGUGCACUAAAGCUUCCACUAUGCACGAGGUGCGGAGAUAUGCAUUACUCCGUUUUGACAAAAUGGGUGUUCAAGAUUUGCCCAUUUAGAGCUACAUUGAGCUGAAUUGUUGACCUGGAUCUUAGCAUUCUUGGUGAAAGGGCAGUUCGGUGCACUAAAGCUUCCACUAUGCACGAGGUCCGGAGAUGUACAUUACUCCAUUUUGAUGAAGGGGGUGUUCAAGAUUUGGCCUUUUGAAGGUACUAGGUACUUUUAAGCUCAAU